rnacentral:tRNA from 1 species
ACGCCCGUAGCUCAGUUGGUUAGAGCGCAUCCCUGAUAAGGAUGAGGUCACUAGUUCGAAUCUAGUCGGGCGUA